rnacentral:tRNA from 1 species
GGGGUUUUCCGGAUCUUCGCUGGUAGGCGAUUCGUCGUCUUCGCCCUUACAAGGCGGAGGUCGGUGGUUCGAAACCACCAGCGCCCA